rnacentral:lncRNA from 1 species
CCCUGGUGGCACCUCAUGGGUGCCACAGCUACAGGCAUCAUGAAUUCCACGACAGCUCCCCGGCUGCCCCAUGAGCACACUCUGCCAUAAAUGCUCCCACUGCCUGGUCAUGGGUUUGUCCCCAAGACAAACUUCUGGAGGAGUGUGCCCAGCCCGGAAGGUGGCACUUGGUAAAUAAAUAACUACAUGCUAUUAACUCCCUAGGAACCUGAUGGCUGUGUGACCUUAGGCAAGUUACUGCACCUCUCUGGGUCUCAGUUUCCUCGUCUUGGGAUGCUAAGGGCAGCUACCUCUUAAGGCUGGUAUGAGUUAUAGAGAGCAUUAAGACAGGGCUUGGCAUCUGGAGAGCACAAUAUAAAUAUCUGCUAUUAUUAAAUAAUGUAUGUAUUUAUGAGGCUUUCACAGAGUCUAGACUCACAGCAAAGAUGGAAAAGGAUCCUCCGACGGGUUGCAUUUAGUACUAAACGCUCCUAUAACAACAGACAUUAAUAUAGCACUGACCACGUGCUGGGCCCUGCUCUCAGCGUCUUGAACACAUUGAUUCUACCCUUGUGGCGACCCUGUGAGGUGGUUCGUGUUGCAGACUGAAUGGACUCACUUCCCAGAUUCAUGUGUUGAAGCCCUAACCCUCAGUGUGACUGCCUGGGCCUUUCAGGAGGUCACGGUCAUGGGGAGGAGCCCUUCACCUGACAGCGUCAGUGUCAUGAUAAGAAUUCUCUCUCUCUGUCCUCCCUCUCUCUCUCUCUCUCUCCUCCCUCUCUCUCUCUCUGUCCUCCCUCUCUCUCUCUCUGUCCUUGCUCUCUCUCUCUCUGCCCUCCUUCUCUCUAUGCAGCACAGAGAAAAGCUUGUGUGAGGAGCGGUGAGUGGCUCUUAGCCACACCCCUGAUCCUGCCUCCAAGUCCAAGGUCCUGGGGUGGGCAUCCGAGGCAGGUGUCCCCCUGCCCUGGGGCUAGGCACCCCGUACAGUCCGUCCCCACCAGGAGGAAUGGCUCAGACAUCCAGGCUCCUCCAGGGUGGGCCUCCGGCUCAGCAUCUUGAAGGUGGGGGUGGGCAGAGGGGCUGGCUGCAUCCUGUGGUCCCCCGGGUCACAGAGUCAGAGCAGCUGCACAAGGAAAGGGGUUCUCGGGCAAGGUGCUGGCCUCCCUGCCCUGGAGGCAGCCUGGCACUGCUGAGCUCCACGCACGCCCGAGGGUCAGGGCUGGACCGAAUGCUGUCUCCCCAAGUCCACGUGUGCAGACACUGGCCUCCAACGUGAC